UGGGGGCGCCCGGCGGCGCGGGGGCGGCGGCGACGCUGAGGGUCCCGCCCGGGGACAGCCCGCUUUCGGCUGGGCAGGGGGCCGGGGGCCGGCGAGCCCGCACCGAGCCCUUCGCCGGCCGCCGCGGAGCUGGGCAGGGAGCGGCAACGGUACCCGGUGCCCGGCGGCCACCCCCCGGCCACCCCCGCUCCGCGCCCGCGGCUCUCGGGGUGCGGCUGACGUCCAGCCCCCGCCGGCGGGCCGGCCGGGCUUAGGGACUGGCCUGCCGGCUGGCGAACGGGAUCAAGAGCCAGGUCCGUGUGGAUUUCCUAUCUGUUAAAAGCUUUAUAGACUUUCCCGCUCUGGGUUUUCCCUAGCAAGAACACAAAUGUACUAUGGCCAACUUAUAAAAUGUAUUUCUAUCCAUCCAUACAGGGGAAGCAGCAAGUGCACAGCAAUAUCCUCUGAAGACGUGUGCCCAGCUUCGAAGUCCAUGUGGCCUCUACUGGAGGAGAUAAGCUAUAUCUUUGGGCUUUUUCAGGUGCAAAUCCACUUCUGGGGAGGAGAACCAUGGAGCAGAAUCUGGACUGUUCCCCCUCUGCAGGUGCCGUCAAUACAUAACCCCACUGCUCCAGAAAGUCAGUAAACAAUAAAGCAGGAAUACAGACCAGAUGGGACCAACAGAGACAACUGAAAGAAGAUUUUCUUGGGAAGGACCAGAAAAAACCCUUGGAGGGAAGCUACAGAUCUCCAAGAUUAAAGUGUGCAUAAAGCAGCAAUUAUGCAGGGAAGAUGGCCAGCUUCAUGGACCUGCUUGGGAAAAGCAGCAGCCUGGAGGCAGGCAGCACCUGAGAGCUGUGUUUCUGUGUUGAGCUGGAGCAAAGCAGGCAGCAGAGAGACAGUCCACAGGUGUCCAGAGGUGAUGGACAGGCCCAUUAGAUUUUAGUAUUAUUGCUGAGAAGUCAGUGCUGCAUUGUUUUGCGAUGUGAUGCUGCUCCACUAGGACCUGUGCUGUGUCAGUGAGCUGAUUUGAUAUUCACUAUCUAACAUUUGCCUGAUAUUACUUAACAGUCAGUGCUUUCUGGUAUCAAGCACCCUCUAUUGGUUUAAAAUAUUGGGUCUGAGAUUAAUAAAUUCCCCUCACUCCUAUGUCCAGAAAAUUUUCUGCUGCCAAAAAUCCAUGAGUAAUUUUAUUUAGGCAGUUUCGUAGCACUGUUGUGAGCAGAAAAGGUCAUUUGCAGUUAAAAACAUUUCCUCUCUGAAGCUAGUUUUACUACCAAAAAUUGAAAAUUACUAUCUAGUCUUUGCUGAGAAUAGAAAUGCACUUUAAAAUAUGAAAUUAAUUUUAAAUGUUACUCUCAUAUGUCAUGGAAAUACAAGAGACUCUGCUAUCUUCACCACCAUUUUUAUAUACAUAUACAUCUAUAUAUAUGUUAAACCUUUUUUCUGAGGUAGAUAAAAAGUUAAAUAGAUGAAACAGAGCAGGUCACUAGCUGAUUACUUUCACUUUUAGUUUGGUAUCCUGCUGCAAAAUUUAAAUCUCCAUUGAAAAUACCGCAAAACUUGCACAUUUUCAGAGUGAAGAGUUAGGUUUUCACCCAUUUUGAGUUUAUAAAUAAAAAUCUAAGGUACCUAAUCUACAGUAGGUGCUGGGUUUUGGUAGUAGUCAUGGCCUUCAAAAGAAAAAUAAUAGAGUAUCACUUCAUAAAACCUUAUUUUUUGGGUAUAAGUAUAUAAUAUUCCAUGAUGCCAUGUGAAGGUACUGGGGAUUGUGAAGCAAUGUGAUACUCUCAGCCAAGGUAGCUAGACCAGGAGAAGUGCUGAGCUUCCUUCUGCACCUGAGAUAACUAAUUCAGAGUUAAUCCAGGUUCCAUCACACUGCGCUAAGCCUGGCCAUGUAGAUGUAUGUAUUACAUUUUAACUGUCCCCAUGUCUUCCAAAACCUACAGACAGCAGGCCUGCAAAUACCACAGGUAAAAUCAGAACUCAUGUAAAGUCCCUCAUUAAAUAUUUUGCAGAUACAUUCAUGUGCUAUGUGCCCCAGACUUGCUGAAAUGUCAAGGUACAAACCAA